rnacentral:lncRNA from 1 species
UGGCCUCCAUUUGCAAUGAACUUGACUCCAUAUAUUCUAUCUUUGAUCGGCUUAGGCGAAAACCUUUAGAUUCCAACACUUCUCUCCAAAAGUUAAGCUUAGCAUUUACCCCUCCUGAGUUUCAUCUAUCAACACUAUAUCGUGUGCGAAAAGCAUACACCAAGGAAUAUCAUCUUGAAUAUGUCCUGUUAACUCAUCCAUUACCAACGCAAAAAGGUAAGGACUUAAGGAUUGUUGAUGCACAAAAUCAGUGAGGACUUUGGUACAACAGAAAGUAUUAAGUUUGUGAUAUUCGCUAGAUUGCUCUGGUCAUUAGUGUGGAUAAGUAUGUAAAUGGAUAGAGACAGGAAAGCAAACACAAGAUGUACGUGGUUCACCCAGAUUUGCUACGUCCACGGAGUAGAGGAGUUCUCAUUAAUUGUGAAGGGUUUACGCAAGUACAUAGGUUCAAGCUCUCCUUUAGUGAGUACAAGUGAAUGAUUUAGUACAAAUGACAUAGGUGCAAGCUCUCGUCUUCACUUGCCUACAAAUGACAUAGGUGCAAGCUCUCGUCUUCACUUGCUUUAACUGUCUCAUAGGUAGAUGUGGCAUCUUC